GAUGAACGCUGGCGGCGUGCCUAAUACAUGCAAGUCGAGCGAACAGACGAGGAGCUUGCUCCUCUGACGUUAGCGGCGGACGGGUGAGUAACACGUGGAUAACCUACCUAUAAGACUGGGAUAACUUCGGGAAACGGGAGCUAAUACCGGAUAAUAUAUUGAAACGCAAGGUUCAAGAGUGAAAGACGGUUUUGCUGUCACUUAUAGAGGGAUCCGCGCCGCAUUAGCUAGUUGGUAAGGUAACGGCUUACCAAGGGAACGAUGCGUAGCCGACCUGAGAGGGUGAUCGGCCACACUGGAACUGAGACACGGCCCAGACUCCUACGGGAGGAAGCAGUAGGGAAUCUUCCGCAAUGGGCGAAAGCUUGACGGAGCAACGCCGCGUGAGUGAUGAAGUUCUUCGGAUCGUAAAACCCUGUUAUUAGGGAAGAACAAAUGUGUAAGUAACUAUGCACGUCUUGACGGUACCUAAUCAGAAAGCCACGGCUAACUACGUG
rnacentral:rRNA from 1 species